UUUUUUUUUUUUUUACUGAUCCUACGUUUGUUUAUUUAGUCCUGCUUAUUUGUUUUGGUUUGUCUGGGCAGCCAGGCCAGCCAUGCUUUGUUGCUGCUUCCUCUAUGGGCAUGUUAGCUCUCCCCAUCUUAGCCAGAUGGGCAGGGCGGGUUGCUUAGCUGUGAUGCAGUGGGGAAGGGCUGGUGGGUAGGAAGGGCAGGGGUCCAGGAUGCUCAGCUGUAGGACAUUUGUACAGGUCUGUUGGGUAGGGAGGGGCACCAGGUUAGGUUGCUCAACUGUGGUUCAGUUGAAUGGAGCUAGCAGGGAGGGAGGAUCAAGCGUCAGGAUGCUCUGCUGCGGAGCAGUAGGGCAGAGCCUGCGGUGGGGGAGGGGUGCAGGGCAAGGUUCCUCAUUUGUGAAACAGUAGGGCAGAGCUGGGAGAGAGGGCCUCUGGCUUGAGGCUGGGUUGUCCAGCUGCAGCACAGAGGAGCAGAGCAGGCAGGGAGUGAAGAGCCUGGGCUGAGCACUCAGCUCAGGGGCAGCAGGGUGGAGCAGGCCGGGAGAUGAAGAUUCAGGCCCAGAAAAAGAGGAAUUACUUGGUCUUACAGCUGCAAGAUCAUACAGUUCUAUUAUUACAGAAUACCUAGUCUGGAGAUAAAUGUUUAUUAAAGCAAGUUGACCUUGGCAAGCUAUAUAACUUUUCUGGACCUUUGUUUCUCAGCGGGAAAAUGAGAGAGCCUGCCCACUGGAAGCCACACACAUUGGAAAUCAAGAGACUCAAUCCUUCUCCUUUUGUUUGUUGUACCCGCACUGUAAAAUGUUGAACUAGUUGCCCAUCUUUAAAAAUUGGGAUUUCAUAUGAAAGUUUGGAUUUCCAGAUUCUUUUGGAAAGUCUGAAGAACUAGAAACAUUAGACCUACAUUCCUUGGUGGUAACAAUAAGCUGGAGCUAAGUAGUUGCAAAACUCAGUAUUUUUAUUCAUUUAUUUUACCUGCCUCCCUGUAUAAGACAUUUGAUUUGUAGUUUCUGCCAGCCUAUAUUUUAUGAGUAAGAUUUAAUAACAAAUUAGUGACAGAGCAGAAGUUAGGACCCAGUAUCUUGACACGCUGUUCAAAUGUGUUGAGCAUACGCCCAUCUUAGGAGACCCUGAAAUUCUUAGGCAUGUCAAAUGUGGAUGUUUCUCUCCAUACCUGUCUCCUUGAAAGUCCCUUCAUGACACAAAGCUAAUAAGGCCACGAUCAUCUCCCAUGUGGCUGUACAGGGAGGCAGCUAUGCUCUUUAAUGUGGGUUGACCUAUGGCAUCCUUACAUAUCCUUCUAAGAAACUUAUCAGCAUCAUGGAUGCUAUAUUCAUCAAAAGCUUCUGGUCUCUGCCUACUUUUCCACACAACUCUGCCAUUGUAUCAAACACCAAUAUCAAAAUAACAGCGAGAUAGCCGAUGUCAAAUCUGGUCCUAAGUCUGAAUUUAUUGUAACACAAGAUGCUUCUGGCCACCUAGGAAAUCACUUUGACAAUAGCUAAGUAUCAAGUUCAAGGAAAAAAUCAAUUCUCAAGAAAUGCUGCAAAAGUAGAAUUUGUGAGCAGCUGUUUAAAUAAUUUAUAAUAGCAGGGUAUAUGACUUUUGAAAAGUAAAAUGUAAGGUUUCAUGUAAAUGACAUUUUUUUCUACUAUGUAUGUCUGAGAGGAUAAGGCAAUCGGGCACCUCCACAUAGAAGGAAAUGUGCUCGAGUGGUGAUGAUCCAGACAGACUUCCUAAGUUUUAUUCUGUCCUUGACCAUUCCCUGUCAUUGACUAAAACUGAUAAGAAGUCCAUAAGCCAACCUACACACCACAUUCUAGCAAGGCACAAUUUUAUGUCUACAAAAAAAGGAAAUGCUGUGUCAUCACUUAUUUGAGGAGGAUAGAAGGAAAACACUUGUUGCCAACUCCUCAUUGCCUGAAAAAUAGGCAUCCUAAUGGUCUUGCAACCUACUUCUGAAGGGUCAGAGCCCUUGAAAACACUAUGGAGUUGAGUUCCACACUAUGGAGUUCAGUUCUACUCAAAACACUCAUGAGGUCACCAUGAGUUGGAGUCAACUCAAUGGCAACUGGUUUGUUGUUUUUGUUUGUUGAUUUUUAAAUGCUGCUAACCUCCAUUUUUAAAACUUUGCCCUUGGGCCUGGGAAGAGCCAAACACCCCCUACAUUCCAGCACUGCUAACUCAUCCUGGGAGGUAGAGACAGUUUCUACUAGCUGAUGUAGAAGACUAGGAAAUUAACUACACGGAUAUAUAGGGGAAAACAUUUUCAGCCACACAGACAGCCAGGACAAAGGUGCUAAGGCAGGAACUUACCUGGCAAAGAGACUAGUGUGACUGGAGCAGAGUAAGGGCAGUGGUUGCAGAGGAAACUAGAGUGAAACUGAGACACUGUCUGACAGGGCUUUUGGUAGGUUACUGUGAGGGCUUUGCUUUAUACUCCUCUGUGCUGGAAGAUCAUCAGAGAGUACUAUGCCAAAACCUGGCAUGUUAGACCAUAUGCUUGUCUGAUUCAAAAUGGCCAAUGCCAGUCCCUUACAGCAAGUCAGGUUAAGCAUGUUUGGAAUGAUUCUGGAUGUGAAUCUACUUUUCAACUGUCAAUUUCAUGAAAUCUAAAUACGAAUUAAGUAAUUCCAAUGAAAAUUUAGCAUCUGAUUAGAAAAAUGAUAAAUGUUUCUUCCCUGGAUUUAAAAAAAUAUAUACAUUGUUGUAAAAUUAUAGGUAACACAACAUUUGUCAAUGUGACACACAGUGAAUUUUAAAGAAUUAGUAUAAGCAACAGUCACCACUCACCUAUCAGUUUGUCAUACUGUGGUGGCUUGCAUCUUGCUGUGAUACUGGGUUUGCCACCAGUAUUUCAAAUAUCAACAGGGUCACUCUUGGAGGACAGGUUUCAGCAGAGCUUCCAGAUUAAGACAGAUUAGGAAGAAAGACCUGGCAAUCUACUUUUGAAAAAAUUGGCCAGUGAAAAACUUAUGAAUAACAGUUGAACAUUGUCUAAUAUAAUGCUAGAAGAUGAGCCCCUUAGGUUAGAAGCCAAAAAAACCCACUGCAGUCGAGUUGAUUCCGACUCAGAAGGCCCUCAAAACACAACUAGGGAAGAAUUGACUCCUCAAAGUAGAAUUGACCUUAAUGAUGUGGAUAGAGCCAAACUUUCGGGACCUUCAUUUGCUGAUGUGGUAAAACUCAAAAUGAGAAGAAACAGCUGCAAACAUACAUUAAUAAUUGGGAAGGUAGAACAUAGGAAACAUGAAUCUAGGAAAAUUGGAAGUCAUCAAAAAUGAAAUGGAAAGCAUAAAGAUCAGUAUCCUAGGUGUUAGUGAGCUGUAAUGGACUGCUAAUGGCCAUUUUGAGUCAGGCAAUCAUAUGGUCUAUUAUGUCAGGAAUGACAAAUUGAAGAGGAAUGAGAUUGCAUUCAUCAUCUAAAAGAACAUGUCAAGAUCUAUCCUGAAGUACAGCUCCAUUAGGGAUAAGAUAAUAUCCAUAUGUCUAUAGGGAAGACAUGGCUAGUCAACUGAAAGAGAUCCGUAUUUGUACCUAUUUGAAAGAAAGGUAAUGCCACGGAAUGUGAAAAUUAUUGAACAAUGUAAUUAAUAUAACAUGCAAGUAAAAUUUUGCUGAAGGUCAUACAAAAGUGGUGGCAGGAGUAAAUUGAUAGGAAAAAGCAGAAAUUCAGGAUGAAUUCAGAGAGGAGCUGGAACAAGGAAUAUUAUUGCCGACUUCUGAUAGAUCUUAGCUGAAACCAAAGAAUACCAGAAAGAUGUUUAUUUCUGUUUUAUUGACUAUGCAAAGGCAUUCAACUGUGUGGAUCAUAACAAAUUAUGGAUAACAUUUUGAAGAGUGGGAGUUCCAGAACACUUAAUUGUACUCAUGAGGAAACUGUACGUAGAGCAGGAAUCAGUCAUUUGAGUAGACCAAAGUCAUACCCAGCAUAUUACGUGACUUAAAGUCAAGAAAGGUGUGGGUCAGGGUUUUAUCCUUUCACGGUAGUUAUUCAAUCUGUAUGCUAAGCAAAUAAUCCCAGAAGCUGGACUAUAUGAAGAAAAAUGCUACAUCAGUUUUGAAGGAAGACUCAAUAACAAACAGUAUUAUGCAGAUAACACAACUUCGCUUGUGGAAAGUGAAGAGGACUUGAAGCACUUACUGAUGAAGAUCAAAGAUCAUUUCAGUAUGGAUUACACCUCAACAUAAAGAAAACAAAAAUCCUCACAACUGGACCAAUAAGCAACAUCAUGAUAAAGGGAGAAAAGAUUGAAGUUGCCAAGGAUUUCAUUUUAGUCGGAUCCACAUUCAGUGCCCAUGGAAGCAGCAGUCAGGAAAUCAAAGGAUGUAUUGUAACGGGCAAGUCUGCUGCAAAAGACCUCUUUAAAGUGCUAAUAAGCAAAGAUAACAGUUCGAGGACUAAGGUGCAACUGACCCAAGCGUUGAUAUACCAUGUGAAAGCUGGACAAUGAAUAAGGAAGACCAAAGAAGAAUUGACGCCUUUUGAAUUAUGGUAUUUGCAAAGAAUGUUAAAUAUACCAUGGACUGCUGGAAGAAUGAACAAGUCUGUCCUGGAAGAAAUACAGCCAUAGGGCUCCUCGGAAGCAAGGAUAGUGAGUCUUUGUCUCAGGUACUUUGGACAUGUUAUCAGGAGGGACCAGUCUCUGGAAAAGGAAAUCAUGUUUGGUAAAGUAGAGGGUCAGUGAAAAAGAGAACGGCCUUCAAGGAGAUGGAUUGACACAGUGGCUGCAACAGUAAGCUAAAACAUAGCAAUAAAUGUGAGGAUGGAGUAAGACCAGGCGGUGUUUCCUUCUGUUGUACCACAAAGUCGGUGGCACCUAAGAAGUAAAACAACAAACUUUAGUUGCAUGGUUGUUGUUGUUAGAUGCUGUCAAGUCGGUUCCAACUCAUAGUGACCCUGUGUACAACAGAACAAAACACCGCCUGGUCCUGUGCCAUCCUCAUAAUUGCUGCCAUGCUUAAGCCCAUUGUUGCAGCCACUGUGUCAAUUCAUCUCCUUGAGAUUCUUCCUCUUCUUCGCUGAACCUCUACUUUGCCACACAUAAUGUCCUCCAGGGACUGAUCCCUUCUGAUAACAUAUGCAAAGUAAGUAAGAUGUAGUCUCACCACUCAUGCUUCUAAAGAGCAUUCUUGUUGUACCACUUCCAAGACAGAUUUGUUCGUUCUUUUGGCAGUCCGUAGUAUAUUCCAUAUUUUUCUCCAGCACCACAAUUCAAAGGCAUCAAUUCUUCCUCCAUCUUCCUUAUUCAUUGUCCAGCUUUCCCAUACAUAUGAGGCAAUUAAAAACACUGUGCCUUGGAUCAGGUGCACCUUAGUCUUCUAGGUGACAUCUUUGCUUUUCAACACUUUAAAGAGAUCUUUUGCAGCAGAUUUGCCCAAUGCAAUGCAUCUUUUGAUUUCUUGACUGCUCCAUUCAUGGGUGUUGAUACUGGAUUAAAGUAAAAUGAAAUCCUUGACAAUUUCAAUCAUCUCUUUUUAUCAUGAUGUUGCUUAUUGGUCCAGUUGUGAGGAUUUUUGUUUUCCUUAUGUUGACGUGUAAUCCAGACUUCAGGCUGUGGUCUUUGAUCUUCAUCAGUAAGUGCUUCAAGUCCUCUGUACUUUCAGCAAGCAAGACUGUAUUGUCUGCAUAACUCAGGUUGUUAAUGAGCCUUCCUCCAAUGCUGAUGCCUUUUUCUUCUUCAUGUAGUCCAGCUUCUCAGAUUUAUUUGCUCAUCAUAUGGAUUGAGUAGGUAUGGUGAAAGGAUACAACCUUGACACACACCUAUCCUGACUUAAAACCACACAGUAUCCCCUUGUUCUGGUUGAAUGACUGCUGCUUGAUCUAUGUACAGGUUCCUCACGAGCACAAUUAAGUGUUCUGGGAUUCCCAUUCUUCAAAAUGUUAUCCCUAAUUUGUUAUGAUCCACACAGUUGAAUGCUUUUGCAUAGUUAAUAAAACACAGGUAAACAUCUUUCUGGUAUUCUCUGUUUUCAGCCAGGAUCCAUGUGACAUCAGCAAUGAUAUCCCUCAUUCCACAUCCUCUCCUGAAUCCAGCUUGAAUUUCUGGCAGUUCCCUGUUGAUAUACUGCUGCAGCUCCUUUUGAAUAAUCUUCAGCAAAGUUUUGCCUGCAUGUGAUACUAAAGUUGCACCUGGUCCUCCACGGAAAUUAAUUUCUUGUGUGCUGGGAUGAUCUGCUGCUUCUCAAGACCAGCAAGGAAGGAGGAACAAGAUGAUCUUCCAUGGAAACAAACCAAACUUAACUCUUACAUAGAGGAACUACACUUUGGUCUGAUCUACUUUCACUCUUGUAGGAGGUUUUAAUAAAAUAAGCAAUAAAAUUGGAGGCCAGAUUUGGGGAUCUGUUGUAUUUAUUUUUCAGAUCGAUCUAUUGCUCUAGCCAGUUUUGUAAGAUGUGGAAGAUUUUUUCUCGUGCUUGAAUUAGUUCAGCUGAAUCACUAUCCAUUUGUUUGUAUAUGUCCGCACAGUGUGUUUCGCCUAUAAAGGAGAAAGAGAAAUACCACAACACCUACAUACCAAGUAUCCAAAGACCAGAUAUCCUUAACCCCCUGCUGUAUGUUAAAACAACCUGAAAUCUUGUUCAAACCAACCAUUACCUGAGCCCCAUUCUGCAGAGGUUCUGAUUUAAUUUGUCUGGGGCGGAGCUGGGCAUCAGUAAUUUUCAAAAGCUGGCUAAAAGUUGAUUAAAAUGUGCAGCCAUAAUAAAGAAUGAGGAUUCGUUUACUAAUAUAACAGGCUUUGAAUCAAAGAAGUAAGCUUCUCUGUAGAUCAAGGUUGGAAAAACUUUAUAUUUAUUAAAGUGAGUUACUGCUUGCGUCUAAGCAAUACUUCUGUGCUACAAACAAAUGAACAUUUCAGGGAAUGAUUAAGGUGGUAGACUUAGAGAAUGCUAUUCCUUGAGGCUUUUUUCUAUAUAUAUAUAUAUAUUUUAUUGUGCUUUAGAUGAAGGUUUAAACAGGGCAAACUAGUUUCUCAUCAGUUAGUACAAACAUUGUUUUAUGACAUUGGUUAACAAUCCCACAACGUGUCAACACUCUUCUCAACCCUGGGCUCCCUAUUACCAGCUUUCCUGUUCCCUCCUGCCUUCCAGUUCCUGCCCCAGGGCUGGUGCACCCCAAUCUUUGGCUGAAGGGUGAACCUCAGGGGUGAUCUCAUUACUGAGCUGAAAGGGCAUCCAGGGGCCAUACUCUCAGUGUUUCUCCAGUCUCUGUCAGAUCGGCAAGUCUGAUCUUUCUUUUUGAGUUAGAAUUUUGUUCUAAAUUUUUCUCCAGCUCUGUCCGGGACCCUCUAUUGUGAUCUCUGUCAGAGUAGUUCGUGGUGGUAGCUGGGCACCAUCUAGUUGUACUGGACUCAGUCUGACAGAGGCUGUGGUAGAUGUGGUCCCUUUUUCUAUAAUUUAAUAAACCUUUUAAAAACAUUAAAAUUUGCAUGUUUAAGAGUCUUACUUUUCAUUGACAAAGUCUUAAGGCUUCAAGGGGGGUUUGAGCUGGAAACCAUGGUGAAGGCUUUUAUAAAUAUCACAUUAGCUGAAUAAGCAGCCAAUUUUUAUUUUGCAGUAGGAAUACAAGUUUUAUCCAGUACUGAAAAUAUAUUGUUGGGAUUAUUUUACAAAUAAUUUCAGUAGCCACAACACAUAAAAUGGAUUACAUGGAAAGAUUGUGUGUUCCAAGUGGAGUUACUGCUCUAAGAACCAAGGAACCAAGCUGUUGUGCUGUUGGGCACUUAUUUAUCUAGUGUUCAGAGCCCUGAGACUAAAUAACUUAUUUUAAUGAGUAACUACAUUCACAAAGAAAAUUACUUCGUCUCACUUGAUUUUCUGAAACCACAUAAAUUUCUUUAAAAAAAAAAUCAAGGACAUUAGGCAAGCAGUUCAUUUUAUAUGCACAUUUGUUGUCUGUGCUGAUUAGUUUUGAAUGCCAGCAAGAUGGAGAAAUAGUGUUGUUGUUGUUCGUGCCAUUAAGCCGCCUCCGGCUCAUAGCGACCCUAUGCACAACAGAACUAAACACUGUCUGGUCCUGCAUCAUCCUCACAAUUAUUGCUACGCUUAAGCCCAUUGUUGUAGCCACUGUGUCAAUCCAUCUUAUUGAGGGUCUUCCUCUUUUUUGCUGACCCUCUACUUUACCAAGCAUGAAGUCCUUCAACAGGGACUGAUCCCUCCUGACAACAUGUCCAAAGUCUGUGAGACGCAGUUUCCACAUGCUUGCUUCCAAGGAGCGCUCUGGUUGUAUUUCUUCCAAGACAGAUUUGUUCAUUCUUUUGGCAGCCCGUGGUACACUCUAUAUUUUUCACCAAUGCCAUAAUUCAAAGGUGUGAAUUCUCUUUGGUCUUCCUUAUUCUUUGUCCAACUUUUGGAUGCAUAUGAGGCGAUUGAAAACACCAUGGGUUGGGUCAGCAUGCCUUAGUCUUCAAGGUGACAUCUUUGCUUUUCAACACUUUAAAGAGAUAUUUUACAGCAGAUUUGCCCAAUGCAAUGUGUCUUUUGAUUUCUCGAUUGCUGCUUCCAUGGGUGUUGAAUGUGGAUCCAAGUAAAAUGAAAUCCUUCACAACUUCAAUCUUUUCUCUGUUUAUUAUGAUGUUGCUUAUUGGUCCAGUUGUGAGGAUUUUUAUUUUCUUUAUGUUGAAGUGUAAUCCAUACUGAAGGUUGAGGUCUUUGAUCUUCAUCAGUAAGUGCUUCAAGUCCUCUUCACUUUCAUAAAGCAAAGUUGUGUCUUCUGCAUA